ACAAACUUGGUCAUUUAGAGGAAGUAAAAGUCGUAACAAGGUUUCCGUAGGUGAACCUGCGGAAGGAUCAUUAUUGAAUAAACCUGAUAGGUUGUAGCUGGCUCUUUAGAGAGUAUGUGCACGCCUGUCAUCUUUAUCUUUCCACCUGUGCACAUUUGUAGAUUUGAAUACCACUCUGGGUUUCAACUCAGUUCAGAGGAUUGCCGAGCUUUAUUAUGCUUGGCUUUCUUCAACAUUUUCAGAUCUACGUUUUUUCAUACACUCAUGAAUGUAAUAGAAUGUUUCAAUGGGCUUUUUGGGCCUAUAAAUUAAAUACAACUUUCAGCAACGGAUCUCUUGGCUCUCGCAUCGAUGAAGAACGCAGC
rnacentral:misc_RNA from 1 species